rnacentral:lncRNA from 1 species
AACUACCUUCUGUGGCUUUAAAAUCUAUGCUCUUUGUGUUCUGAUGCUUCAUUGAAGAAAUCCUCACCAAGGAGCCUCUGACCUCUUGAGACAGUGGAAGAAGCUCUGUGGUUCCAGAGAAGCUCAAGACCGAAGCUAUCGAGUGGUGCCCCACUGCACCACCCCCCCCCAACCAGGGAGGAGGCACAGCCUAGAGGUGGACAGCCUGGAAUAUUCCACUGCACACUGAAGUCAUGUUGGGAGAGAAAUCAGAGGUCCCCUCCAAACUGUUUAACUUCACGGCCUAUGGAACCUGGAUCUGUCCCAGUACAAAGCAGUGAGCAUGAUGCGAGAGAAACGUAAGAGCGUCUGUGGGAGUUCUGAGAAGGAAGACAUUAUUCAGGACAGAGAUGAUCACAGAAGGGUUUUAUCUGAGCUAUGAUCAAGCGAAGAACUUGAAUUCAGAAAUAUAGCAAAUGAUGUUCUAAACGAAAAACUGAAUGCUUCAUACAUUUUUUUAAGUUUACACACAGUCUAGUCUUAAUGAGUUAAGCAUAUGGUUAUUCCAAUAUCCUUCUACACUUAACGUUUACAAACACAUCUUAAUGAAAGAAGAUCUUGCUGGAAAGACGAUUUAUUCACAGUGUG